UGGGGAGUGGUGUAACUGGUAACACGUCGGCCUUUGAAGCCGAAGACUUCAGGUUCGAGACCUGACUCCCCAG
rnacentral:tRNA from 1 species